rnacentral:lncRNA from 1 species
GUUAAGGAUCCAGCAUCGUCACUGCAGUGGCCUGGGUCACUGCUGAGGUGUGGGUUUGACCGCUGUUUCAGGAAUUUCCAUCAUGGGUGUGCCCCCCUCCAAAAAGAAGAAAAUAACGCCAUUUGCAGCAACAUGGAUGGACCUAGAGAUUAUCAUACUAAAUCAGAAAGAGAAAGAUAGAUAUCAUAUGAUAUCACUUACAUGUGGAAUAUAAACAAUGAUACUUAUAAUCUAAACUUAUUUGCAGAAUAGAAACAGACUCACAGACACAGAAAAUAAAUUAUGGUUACCAAAGGGGAAAUGUGGUGGAGGAAGGAUAAAUUGGGAGUUUGAGAUUAACACAUACACACUACUAUAUAUAUAUAUAAAAUAGAUAACCAUCAUGGACCUACUGUAGAGCACAGAGAACUCUUCUCAAUAUUCUGUAGUAAGUUAUAUGAGAAAAGAAUCUGAAAAAAGUGGAUAUACGAAUAUGUAUAAGUGAAUCACUUUGCUAUACACCUGAAACUAACAACAUUGUAAGUCAACUAUAAUAUAAAAUAAAAAUUACUUCACUCAGUAUGAGAGUUUCUGGUUCCAUCCAUGUUGCUGCAAAUGGCAUUAUUUUGUUCUUUUUUAUGGCUGAGUAGUAUUCCACUGUGUAUAUAUACCACAUCUUCCUAAUCCAAUCAUCUGUCGAUGGACAGUCACUUACGAUGGAGCAUGACAAUGUGAGAAAAUAGAAUGUAUACAUGUAUGUGUAACUGGGUCACCAUGCUGUACAGUAGAAAAAAAAAUGUACUGGGGAAUAACAAUUAAAAAAAAUAAAAUAAAAAUUAAACAAAAAAAAAUUUUCGUCGUUAAGGUGACAGAUAAAUAUUUUUAGACACUGCAAAUACUACAGAGCAUACAGCUUAAGGAAGUAAUCUGUGUUAAAAAGCUGUCCUAAAAGAGGUAGGUUUUGAUGCAGCUGAAAGUGGAAGAGAGUGGUAUAUGAAAAGAUAUAUUGCUGAGUCAGCGUAAUUCCUACAAGGAUGACAGGAGUUUGAAUAACACACGGAAUUCCAGAUGAAAGUUCCCUUUCUCAUUGGGCUUGAAGCACAGAUUUAUCCAAUCCAUCUUCAUAUCCAUAGCAACCAGCACAGUGCCAGGCACAAUAAAUGGGCUAUAAAUGUCUGGUAAAUUAAUGCAUGAAAAUUUAAUUGUUGCAGGAUCACUAUAUCUAAUAAAAAGUUAACUAGUGUAUUUCUAACUUUCUUCUAUCUUGGUAUAAGGGUUUCUUCCCCCUUCCCCUAUUGUCUGCUGCUGAACUUUUUGAGUUUAUGACAAAGUCGAGGGGUGAAUGCCCAGAUUAUUAUUAUUUGCACAUCUGUAAAGUUCCAUUUGACUCAUGGGGGUGUGUGAUAUCAGAAUGAUAAUGUACUUUGAUCCCUUCCCAGUGGAGAGGCUAUGUCAACGCUUAAGAGAGAUAAUAAUACCACCAACGUGUAUUUAAAAGCUUUUUGUUAUUGGAUGGACAUUAAGGUUCUCAGAGACCUUCCAGAUCAUUUAUGUUCCAUGGGGAUCUUCUCUAUAAAAAAUUCAACUUAUCCAGAGUUUUAUUCCCCAAGUCAAAGUAACAAUUGCCACAACCCUUUCUUGUCUGAAUCCAAACCUUACAUAAUAUAACCUCCCAAUCUAAAGAGGCAAUCACGACAAUUUCACUACAAUUCGAAGGUCAUACAUAGCGCAGAGCAGAAAUAGGAGUAGAACAAUCAUUCUUUAGAGGGGAGAAAAUAUGGAAGCCUUUCCCUCCGUGUGACCUUGCAAGUCUCCAUAGUAACUGCGUGCUAAUUGGCAAACGGUGCAUCCUCAGAGGAGGGGCGACAGCUCCCUGACCUCCAGGCCCAUGAGCGCCACCUAGUGAGAAAAUUUCUCUUCAAAACUCUUCAAACAAAACACCCUCAACUUGUCUCACGUCACUUGCCCUUGAAAAAGGAUUAAGUUCACGCGGACAGGUAUAUAAUUUUAAAUAUUUUAACCAAGAACCCUAAUUUAGGAGUCAAAAGACUAGAGCUAGUUAAAGAAACUGAGAGUUAGGAAAUUUAAAAAUUCAAUCAACACUUUGUAUCGCAAUUUAAGAUUUCUUUUCACUCCUAUAUAUUUUCAAAAGCCCUGAUAAUAUGUUAUUUUUCAAAUAUAAAGAAAAAUUUCAAAACGCUGGAAGAAAACACAAGAGGUGUGGAUGAGUAGGUGAGAAUAGGGUGCAGGGGGACAGUAGCGAGGUCUUUCACUAUGUGCUAUGUUGUUUAUUUCAAACCACAUGCCUGUAUUGCUGAUCAAUAAAUUAGAUUUAAAAAGAACAGUCAGCAUAUAUUCAUAUGGCAAGCAGCUGUGUAGUUUCAGCAAAAGCAGUAUCACUUUGUCACAUUAAAUUUAACUUGCUAAAUUUAAAAAUAAUGCAUCCUCGUGAGGUCAAAGGACUUUCGCCAUGUAAAAGUACUUGUCUGCAAAACAUAAGUAGUACACAUAGAAACUUCAUCUCAGUCACACACACACACACACACACACACACACACACACACACACACACACACACACCCCUCCUCUGAGUUUCUUACAUCGUACGUAGGCACACAUCUCAGCUACUGAUUUUUUAAAAAACACUUAUGUCAAUGGUACUCAACUUCCCUGAACAAGCUCUACCAAGUACUUUACCUAAUUUGAUCCUUGGACAUACUAACUAAAAAAGUAAGUGGAUGUUAAAAGCUACAAAGCAAAGCUCAAAGGAUGCGUCCUUCAGGUUGCCACAAUGGCUGAAAGAAGACUUCCAUUUUUCUUCUGCAACUUAGAAAAGACGCAUGGAAGCCUAAGUCAAAUGCAGCUUACUGUAGUGACAAAGACACAGACACAGACCUAAAAACAUCAGGCUGGCCUUGUCCAUGUUCCUGGGAUUCCGGGCCACCCGUCAGUGUGUUCACGCCUCCCAUCACACCACUAAAUGUAUGACAACUUGCUUUGAGGUUAUUUUAUAACAAACUUAACUGUCUGGUUGAAAAAAAAAAAAGUAAAAGUAGAAUACCAUGUAGUCCUGAAGAUAUUUUGCCUUUUAUUUGUGAUUGAAUUUUGUCUGUCUACAGAUCAAUUUAGGAUUAGGUCAAAGACCCUGGAGACUCCACAACUGUUCCCACAAAAUUAAAACAGAGAGAGCUUCGAGCAAAACUGAACAGCUUCUGCUAAGCAAGUGGGUGGAGUUUUUUUUUUUUUCAAGUUCCUUUUGGGAUUUUGAAUCAGAUCUUCAGUGAAUAAAAACCACAGCACGACCAUAUUUUAGUUUGGACGAAUAUUUGGGAAAAAUGCAUUUCUGUCCUAUUGAAAGCAUAACAAUAGAAAAUAAAAAUACAGGUUUGGGAUUUUGCAUAUUUUAGCUAUAUUUAGAGAUUGUGACCUCGACCUCAUCGAAUCUUAAUAGCAUUUGUUGGUGUACCUAAUGUCAAAUAUAAGUACUAUCUUUAUAUUAUACAAACGAAUAAAAUGUAGAAAAUAUUAACUUCAGCAAUUAUUAUAUGACAUGUUCACAUUUUUCCCUUACUUAUAUUCCCUUCAAGAAUUACACUGAACAGAGGCUGAUAGCUAAAAAAAAAAAAAGUUGAAGUGACGGUGUUUGGAGAUUUUAGAUACAUGCAUGUCUAUCUUUUAUUAUAUAAGCUUGUAAUUUUUGCAAAAAACUAUAAAAUGGGUAGAAUCAGUGAUAAGAUCAUUAUCCUGUAAAAAUGUACUAAAAUGAGCGAUUUUUAUUUAACCGACAGUUGGUUUUAGCAUUAUUUUUAAAAGGGGGAAAUAUGUACAACUGCCACUGCUGAAUGAUAUCCAAUUUACAGCCCUCGUCACAUGGCUACAAAGCUAAAAAGAAGUGAAAUUGAACCAUCCUCCAGUAAAUUAAACUCAUGCCAAUAUCCCAUCAAAACUGUUGGUCCAACCAUUCUCUUCAUUUCCUCUGAGUUGAUCCAACCCUAACCUGUGUGUCCUGAAAUUGUUCUUAGAUCAACAGCCAGGAUCCAACAUUUAGUAAUGGAUCAUUAAAUAGGGGGGGAACCCCACAAAUCAAUCAGAACUUGAUCGUGGAUUCUCAAUUAGAAAAUAUUCUUCUUGCUAGAGCUAUCAGCAGUAUGAGAAAAAUCUUUGCUAUGCCUGUAUCUCUGUGAUUUUGAAGUUAUUAUUUUCUCGCAAAGUGUAAGCCAUUUGGUUACUUAGUUCUUACAGCUGAGGAGAACCUAACAUUCUCCAUUAAAUAUUAUAACACUUUUCUUUUAAAAAAAAUACUGUAUAAGACAUAUUUUACCACUUACUGGAGGGGUUCACAUGUCCAACUGAAGGAACUAUUUACAGCUCACUCUCUAAUUAAUGGAGAGGAACGCUGAUUGUUUCAACUUGACCAUUUAAACAACUGAAUUGGGGUUAAUAACACUUCUAUUCAGAAUUCUACCUUAGAACAAACAGCAGCUCUAUUAGCAAGAUUAUUUGAAUUAGAUAAAGCUCUGGUUCAUAUACAGUUCCUUGAACAUCUACUUUCAAAGAUGUAAUUACAUACCACAUGAUCUGAGGUAUUUCAACACUAUACCCUCAACAGAUUCUGUGAAAAUUCCAUUAACUUCCUGAAGAAUCUCAUUUUUCUCUGUAAACCUGUUUAAAUCAUUAGCUCUUCAAUCAAACAAAUUAACUAGAAAUAAAGCAAGACAAGGAAAUCUUCUCAGUUAGACUUUCCCUUCUCCAUUCAUUUAUUCAUUCAUCCAUUCAAUGCAUCAAUAUUUAUUGUCUAAUAAGUGCCAGGCACUGGGUAUUAUAAUAGCAAACAAGAGGCAUAAUCUCUGCCUUCAUGGGGAAAACAGACUUGAAUCAAAUAAACACAAAAAUAAAAAUCUAGUUACAAAGCAGGCAAUGUGAAUGAGGUGAUGGAGGAGGGGGUGGCCUGGAGGAGAUUAAUAGACUACCCUACUUUGGCUGGGGCUUAGAGGGUGUGUCUUUGAGGAAGUGGCACUUAAAGCACCUGAAGGAUGGAGUUCCCGUCGUGGCGCAGCGGUUAACGAAUCCGACUAGGAACCAUGAGGUUGCUGGUUCGAUCCCUGCCCCUGCUCAGUGGUGUAGGUUGCAGACACGGCUCGGAUCCCGCGUUGCUGUGGCUCUGGCGUAGGCCAGCGGCUACAGCUCCGAUUAGACCCCUAGCCUGGGAACCUCCAUAUGCCACGGAAGUGGCCCCAAAAAAUAGCAAAAAGACAAAAAAUAAAAUAAAAUAAAGCACCUGAAGGAUGAACCCGAGGCAGCCCGGUGAUGAGUGAGGCAGGAUGGGCUUUCAAUAAACAACAGAUAAUUUUUUAGUGUAAGUCUGCGAUAUUUGGGACAUGCUUCAGCUAAGAAAGUUUUGUUGUUUCUCUGAAACCUGAAUUUAAUUGGGCAUCCUGCAUUUCAUCUGACAAUGCCAGGUGGGUAUCUGAGGCAGGUGAGAAGGCCCUGACGUGGGCCAGGUUCCCACCACUUGGGAGGAGGUGAGGCGGCUGACAUGAGGUGAUGGAAGGGGGAGUCGGUGAGUUGAGACUGGGGAGCCAAGAGCCCAAGAUUUCUGUACGGCCUGUAGGUAUCAUUCUUUCAUGCCUUCGAUUUUACCUGGAGCAAAGUUUGGCAGCACACUAACCAAAGGCUAAUUUCAAUUUGAUAUCUUUUCAAUUAACACAAAAACCUGAGAAACAUGCUCAGCAAAUAUGUGAGCUGUGAAUUCCAAGGAGAUUUGCUUAUUUUCUUGAAAGACAAGCUUAUGAGGCAUCAGUGGAUAAACCUAUAGAUGCCCAGUCUCUGCUUUCCACUUGGCUAUUUCAUCCUGAAUUGGCUGAGUCUGACAUCGUACUUGCAGGGGUCCUGAAAGGUGCUGUCUGGGACACUAUUGCACUGGGGGCUGAGGGGUCCUGCAGCAGCAUGUGGUUCAACUCUUGCCUAUUCAAUGCCAUCCACUUCAGCCCCCUCAGCAAGUCUCACAUAAACCUCCCUGAGUAGUACAGGUGAUUUAGCCUUUUCUGAUCUCCGAGUCAAGUAAACACGCCUAGCUUCUGUUUUAUAAUUUUCUACUAGGUGUUGAAAUUAUAUAAUUACACAACCUCCCCUGCUGUCUUUCUCCCACCUUCCCCAAAAGUGUGUACAAGUGUCAAAAAGUUUAUCCUAUAUUUCAAAUUCAUUAACAGUUAGCUAGUAGCUUUUUAAAAAAAUUUUUUAUUAAAGUAUUUACAAUGUUGUGUCAAUUUCCACUGUACAGUGAAGUGACCCAGUCAUGUAUGUGUAUAUAUAUAUAUACAUAUACACACAUUCUUUUUCUUAUACUAUCUAUUUAUGAGAUCUAUUAUUUAAUUUUAUAUUAAAUAAUAUCACAAAGUCUUUUGGUCCCAACACUGAAAUAUGCUAGAAAAUAAUAGAAAAUUCUACAAAGAAUUAAGCUAUUUCCACCUUGCAAAGAACUAAAAUACUCUCAAGCUGCUACAAAAUCUCCUGGCCUGUCAGAUGUGUAUAUGCCUGCCUCUUCUGGAAUUCACGCACUCAAUACAGAUAAAGCUCCCUGGAAUUCCUGUCGUGGCUCAGUGCUUAAUGAACCCAACUAGUAUCCAUGAGAUUGCAGGUUCGAUCCCUGGCCUCGCUCAGUGAGAUGAGGAUCUGGCGUUGCCAUGAGCUGUGGUGUAGGUCGCAGAUGCGGCUUGGAUCUGGUGUUGCUGUGGCUGUGGCACAGGACGGCAGCUACAGCUCCGAUUCAACCCCUAGCCUGGGAACCUCCAUGUGCUUCGAGUGAGGCCCUAAAAAGACACACACACACACACACACACACACACACAAAAUAAGCUCCCACCAUGGGCCACACAAAGUAUUUCUGGCACUUUCAAAUACAGCUUUAUUAAAUUUACUAAAUAACUCAUGCAUUGAGGGUCUAUCAGGUUGAAAACCAAGCACAGUAACAAAUUCUAUGGGUACUUAUUAGAUCAUAUUUAGAAAUAAAGAUGAAAUAAUACUGGAAAUUCAAAGAAUCCCUAAAAAAACAGAGUUUAAAUAGUUAUGAG